rnacentral:ncRNA from 13 species
CACAUCUGAAAAGCGGACCGCCCCCGACGGCGGUCCCACCCAAGGUGCAAGCCCUGAUCGCCGUACUCCGGUGGCCGUGGCGAACCUCUCAGGUUCCGAUGACAGAUGGGGAGGA